GGAGACCUUCCAGCUGCCUGGGGAUGCUGAGUCUGUUCCUGGUUUCCUUUAGGUGAAGAUGUAGAACUCAGCUCCUCCUGCACAGCCUGGGUGCUGUGAUUCUGUCAUGCUCCUGCCUUGAUGAUAAUGGACUGAACCUCUGAACCUUUAGUUUGUAUAAAGGAGUGAAGUGGAGUGCAACCACAAAGGAAGAACAAUAUCAACUAACUGGACCACCAAGAGUUCCCAGGGACUAAACCACCAACCAGAGAGUACACAUUGAUGGACCCAUGACUCUAGAUUUCAUGUAGCAAAGGCUGGUCUCAGUGGGAAUCCAUGUAACCAAGACUGACCUCAAUCUAGGCACAAAGCAGAAGAUAUUCUUCAGCCCGUGAAUCUCCUGUCUCUACUUCUAGAGUGGAACAACAAACCCAUCAAUGAAGUGUUGCAGUUAUCUAAGAAAACUUUUUCAAUCAUUACAGAACAUCUUUUGAACUUCUUCUUUCAAAGAAUCUGAGAGAUAUUAAGUUGCUAAAUAGAAAUAAAUAAUUAAGUUGCUAAAUAGAAAUAGAAAAUUAAAAUAUCUUUAUAAUAAAAUAUGACUUUGGAAAUAAAUAAUCAACAGCAUUCUAAA